rnacentral:rRNA from 1 species
CCUACGGGAGGCAGCAGUAGGGAAUCUUCCACAAUGGACGCAAGUCUGAAGGAGCAACGCCGCGUGAGUGAAGAAGGUUUUCGGAUCGUAAAGCUCCGUUGUUGGGGAAGAAGGAUAUAGGAAGUAACUGGCCUAUAUUUGACGGUAAUCAACCAGAAAGUCACGGCUAACUACGUGCCAGCAGCCGCGGUAAUACGUAGGUGGCAAGCGUUGUCCGGUUUUAUUGGGCGUAAAGCGAGCGCAGGCGGAGAAAUAAGGCUGAUGUGAAAGCCCACGGCCCAACCGUGGAGUUGCAUCGGAAACUG